UGGACGCGCGCGGGGCUGCGCGAGGCUCCCGGCGCCGGGGGGGCCAUGCGCCGGGCCGCGCCGGCAGCCUGGGGACCCGGCGCAACUUGCCGGGCAGCCUGAGGAGUUGGGGCGGCCGCGGGCUCGGCGCCGCGGCGCCCGGCCGCCUUUCUUCCCCCUCACCAGAACCCGCCUCCCUUUUGGCCGUGGGGGAGGGGGCUCGUGUCCCCCCCUCUCCGGAGACCCGGUCGGCCCCCGUCCGCUCCAGCCCCCGCGGAGCCGCGCAACUUCCCCGGAGCCGGGGCCAAAGUGAGCGCAAAGUGCUGCCCAAGUUGCCGGGAUGGAGCUGCAGAGCCGGCCCGAGGCGCUCGCCGUGGAACUCGCGCGCCACCAGAACGGCGAUCUCAAGAAACAGCUCCACGAGAGGCAGCCGCGGAUCGCCGCGCUCAGCGACAAACAAUUCUCGGCACAACAUGUAGAUGCCACGUGAUGCAGGCAUCUUCAGACCUGAACUUCACGCAAGUUCAGCUUCACCGCAGAGUGAGAGGAUUCUCCUGUAUCAACUGCAGUCCGAGCGGGCAUGGCAGAGAGAGCACCGGCCUCCACCCCAGCGAACGUGGGGCCUUGUGUGCUGCUCCACCCGUCGACCUGGUGGACUCCGGAUUCCGAGGGGAUGUCCUCAAGUGCAGCAGUAAAAAUACGUCUUCUUGAAAGAUAUUUGCAGCCGAUCACCACCAUCGAUUUUAGAACAUUUUCAUCGUCUCAGAAAGAAACGCUUUGGGUAUCAUCCCCGCUGCACACCCCACCCCCAGGCCCUAAGCAACCGCUAAUCUAC